UAAUACGUAGGUGGUGAGCGUUGUCCGGAUUUAUUGGGCGUAAAGGGAGUGUAGGCGGUCUUUUAAGUCUGAUGUGAAAGCCCACGGCUCAACCGUGGAGGGUCAUUGGAAACUGGGAGACUUGAGUGCAGAAGAGGAGAGCGGAAUUCCAUGUGUAGCGGUGAAAUGCGUAGAUAUAUGGAGGAACACCAGUGGCGAAGGCGGCUCUCUGGUCUGUAACUGACGCUGAGGCUCGAAAGCGUGGGGAGCAAACAGGAUUAGAUACCCUGGUAGUCCACGCCGUAAACGAUGAGUGCUAAGUGUUGGAGGGGUUCCACCCUUCAGUGCUGGAGUUAACGCAAUAAGCACUCCGCCUGGGGAGUACGGCCGCAAGGCUG
rnacentral:rRNA from 1 species